rnacentral:rRNA from 1 species
UACGUAGGGUGCAAGCGUUAAUCGGAAUUACUGGGCGUAAAGCGUGCGUAGGCGGUUGCGCAAGACAGGUGUGAAAUCCCCGGGCUUAACCUGGGAAUUGCACUUGUGACUGUGCGGCUGGAGUGCGGCAGAGGGGGAUGGAAUUCCGCGUGUAGCAGUGAAAUGCGCAGAUAUCGGGAGGAACACCAGUAGCGAAGGCGGCUCGCUGGGCCAUUCCUGACGCUGAGACGCGAAAGCUAGGGGAGCGAACAGG